UGGGGAAUUUUGGACAAUUGGGCGAAAGCCUGAUCCAGCAAUGCCGCGUGUGUGAAGAAGGCCUUCGGGUUGUAAAGCACUUUUGUCCGGAAAGAAAUCCUUGGCUCUAAUACAGUCGGGGGAUGACGGUACCGGAAGAAUAAGCACCGGCUAACUACGUGCCAGCAGCCGCGGUAAUACGUAGGGUGCAAGCGUUAAUCGGAAUUACUGGGCGUAAAGCGUGCGCAGGCGGUUUGCUAAGACCGAUGUGAAAUCCCCGGGCUCAACCUGGGAACUGCAUUGGUGACUGGCAGGCUAGAGUAUGGCAGAGGGGGGUAGAAUUCCACGUGUAGCAGUGAAAUGCGUAGAGAUGUGGAGGAAUACCGAUGGCGAAGGCAGCCCCCUGGGCCAAUACUGACGCUCAUGCACGAAAGCGUGGGGAGCAAACAGGAUUAGAUACCCUGGUAGUCCACGCCCUAAACGAUGUCAACUAGUUGUUGGGGAUUCAUUUCCUUAGUAACGUAGCUAACGCGUGAAGUUGACCGCCUGGGGAGUACGGUCGCAAGAUUAAAACUCAAAUGAAUUG
rnacentral:rRNA from 1 species